rnacentral:rRNA from 1 species
AUACGUAGGGGGCGAGCGUUGUCCGGAAUGAUUGGGCGUAAAGGGCGCGUAGGCGGCCCGGUAAGUCUGGAGUGAAAGUCCUGUUUUUAAGAUGGGAAUUGCUUUGGAUACUGUCGGGCUUGAGUGCAGGAGAGGUAAGUGGAAUUCCCAGUGUAGCGGUGAAAUGCGUAGAGAUUGGGAGGAACACCAGUGGCGAAUGCGACUUACUGGACUGUAACUGACGCUGAGGCGCGAAAGUGUGGGGAGCAAACAGGAUUAGAUACCCUGGUAGUCCACGCUGUAAACGAUGAAUGCUAGGUGUAGGGGGUAUCGACCCCUCCUGUGCCGGAGUAAACGCAAUAAGCAUUCCGCCUGGGGAGUACGGCCGCAAGGUUGAAACUCAAAUGAAUUGACGGGG